CCAGACUCCUACGGGAGGCAGCAGUGGGGAAUAUUGCACAAUGGGGGGAACCCUGAUGCAGCGACGCCGCGUGGGUGAAGAAGCGCCUCGGCGCGUAAAGCCCUGUCAGCAGGGAAGAAAAUGACGGUACCUGAAGAAGAAGCCCCGGCUAACUACGUGCCAGCAGCCGCGGCAAUACGUAGGGGGCAAGCGUUAUCCGGAUUUACUGGGUGUAAAGGGAGCGUAGACGGCAGUGCAAGUCCGGAGUGAAAGCCCGGGGCUCAACCCUGGGACUGCUCUGGAAACUGUAAAGCUGGAGUGCGGGAGGGGCAGGCGGAAUUCCUGGUGUAGCGGUGAAAUGCGUAGAUAUCAGGAGGAACACCGGUGGCGAAGGCGGCCUGCUGGACUGCAACUGACGUUGAGGCCCGAAAGCGUGGGGAGCGAACAGGAUUAGAUACCCGGGUAC
rnacentral:rRNA from 1 species